rnacentral:rRNA from 1 species
AGUGAACGCUGGCGGUAGGCCUAACACAUGCAAGUCGAACGGAAGCACAGUAAGAGCUUGCUCUUACGGGUGGCGAGUGGCGGACGGGUGAGGAAUACAUCGGAAUCUACUUUUUCUUGGGGGAUAACGUAGGGAAACUUACGCUAAUACCGCAUAUGACCUACGGGUGAAAGCAGGGGAUCUUCGGACCUUUCGCGAUUGAAUGAGCCGAUGUCGGAUUAGCUAGUUGGCGGGGUAAAGGCCCACCAGGGCGACGAUCCGUAGCUGGCCUGAGAGGAUGAUCAGCCACACUGGAACGGAGACACGGUCCAGACUCCUACGGAAGGCAGCAGUGGGAAUAUUGGGCAAUGGGCGCAAGCCUGAUCCAGCCAUACCGCGUGGGUGAAGAAGGCCUUCGGGUUGUAAAGCCCUUUUGUUGGGAAAGAAAAGCAGCAGGUUAAUACCCCGCUGUUCUGACGGUACCCAAAGAAUAAGCACCGGCUAACUUCGUG